GGGCCCGUAGCUCAGUCAGGAUAGAGCGGCGGCCUCCUAAGCCGUAGGUCGUGGGUUCAAAUCCCACCGGGCCCG
rnacentral:tRNA from 1 species